UAACACCCAAAAACAAAUCAAAUAAAUUAAAUCCCCCACGUUUUAACCUUUCAUGAAAUUCCAUUGGAAAAACACUACCCACCACAGUUUAAUACCACAUAGCCACUAUCUCCAUCGAAUCGAAAAUAUCCCACCGACGAACCAUCGCCGCACACCUAGCUUCGUCCAUCUCCGGCCUAAUCUCCACUCCCUCUAAUUCGUAAACACCAAUUAGUAGUAGCGACCAA
rnacentral:lncRNA from 1 species